rnacentral:rRNA from 1 species
GACGAACGCUGGCGGCGUGCCUAAUACAUGCAAGUAGAACGCUGAAGGAGGAGCUUGCUCUUCUGGAUGAGUUGCGAACGGGUGAGUAACGCGUAGGUAACCUGCCUGGUAGCGGGGGAUAACUAUUGGAAACGAUAGCUAAUACCGCAUAAGAGUAGAUGUUGCAUGACAUUUACUUAAAAGGUGCAAUUGCAUCACUACCAGAUGGACCUGCGUUGUAUUAGCUAGUUGGUGGGGUAACGGCUUACCAAGGCGACGAUACAUAGCCGACCUGAGAGGGUGAUCGGCCACACUGGGACUGAGACACGGCCCAGACUCCUACGGGAGGCAGCAGUAGGGAAUCUGCGGCAAUGGACGGAAGUCUGACCGAGCAACGCCGCGUGAGUGAAGAAGGUUUUCGGAUCGUAAAGCUCUGUUGUAAGAGAAGAACGAGUGUGAGAGUGGAAAGUUCACACUGUGACGGUAUCUUACCAGAAAGGGACGGCUAACUACGUG